rnacentral:rRNA from 1 species
UACGUAGGGGUCGAGCGUUGUCCGGAGUUACUGGGCGUAAAGCGCGUGCAGGUGGCUCAUUACGCCCGGCGUGAAAGCCCCCGGCUCAACCGGGGAGGGUCGUCGGGGACGGGUGAGCUUGAGGGUAGCAGGGGCUGGUAGAAUUCCCGGUGUAGUGGUGAAAUGCGUAGAGAUCGGGAGGAAUAUCCGUGGCGAAGGCGGCCAGCUGGGCUACACCUGACACUGAGACGCGAAGGCGUGGGGAGCGAACGGG